rnacentral:rRNA from 1 species
UACGGGGGGGGCAAGCGUUGUUCGGAAUUACUGGGCGUAAAGGGCUCGUAGGUGGCCAACUAAGUCAGACGUGAAAUCCCUCGGCUUAACCGGGGAACUGCGUCUGAUACUGGAUGGCUAGAGAUUGGGAGAGGGAUGCGGAAUUCCAGGUGUAGCGGUGAAAUGCGUAGAUAUCUGGAGGAAUACCGGUGGCGAAGGCGGCAUCCUGGACCGACAUUGACGCUGAGGAGCGAAAGCUAGGGGAGCAAACGGG